CUGGCGGCAUGCCUUACACAUGCAAGUCGAACGGCAGCACGGGAGCAAUCCUGGUGGCGAGUGGCGAACGGUGAGUAAUAUAUCGGAACGUGCCCGAGUCGUGGGGGAUAACGUAGCGAAAGCUACGCUAAUACCGCAUACGAUCUAUGGAUGAAAGCGGGGGAUCGCAAGACCUCGCGCGAUUGGAGCGGCCGAUAUCAGAUUAGGUAGUUGGUGAGGUAAAGGCUCACCAAGCCGACGAUCUGUAGCUGGUCUGAGAGGACGACCAGCCACACUGGGACUGAGACACGGCCCAGACUCCUACGGGAGGCAGCAGUGGGGAAUUUUGGACAAUGGGCGCAAGCCUGAUCCAGCAAUGCCGCGUGCAGGAUGAAGGCCUUCGGGUUGUAAACUGCUUUUGUACGGAACGAAACGGUGAGCUCUAAUACAGUUUGCUAAUGACGGUACCGUAAGAAUAAGCACCGGCUAACUACGUG
rnacentral:rRNA from 1 species